rnacentral:tRNA from 1 species
AAAAACAUACAAGACUCGAACCUGUAAUCUUUGUGGCCGAAACACAAUGCCUUACCAUUUGGCUAACGCGUA